GGUAUGGGUAAAGUUAUCAACUGU
rnacentral:siRNA from 1 species